UACGUAGGUGGCAAGCGUUAUCCGGAUUUAUUGGGCGUAAAGAGAACGCAGGCGGUCUUUUAAGUCUGAUGUGAAAGCCCGGGGCUCAACCCCGGGACUGCAUUUGGAACUGUGUGGCUGGAGUGUCGGAGAGGCAGGCGGAAUUCCUAGUGUAGCGGUGAAAUGCGUAGAUAUUAGGAGGAACACCAGUGGCGAAGGCGGCCUGCUGGACGAUGACUGACGUUGAGGCUCGAAAGCGUGGGGAGCAAACAGG
rnacentral:rRNA from 1 species